AAAUUGAAGAGUUUGAUCAUGGCUCAGAUUGAACGCUGGCGGCAGGCCUAACACAUGCAAGUCGAACGGUAACAGGAAGAAGCUUGCUUCUUUGCUGACGAGUGGCGGACGGGUGAGUAAUGUCUGGGAAACUGCCUGAUGGAGGGGGAUAACUACUGGAAACGGUAGCUAAUACCGCAUAAUGUCGCAAGACCAAAGAGGGGGACCUUCGGGCCUCUUGCCAUCGGAUGUGCCCAGAUGGGAU
rnacentral:rRNA from 1 species